AUGAUAAUAUCAUUUUAAUAAAUAUAUUAAUUGAUGUUAUCAUAUGUACAUGUAAAACAAAUAUUAUAUUUUAUGCAUAUUAUAUUCAAGUAUUAAAACAUGUUGGAUGAGUGGUUAUGUCAUUUUAGUUCAAACCAAUAUGUGGUGGUAUUGGUUCAUUUCUAUAUAAAUUUUCUUAAGAAAUGAUUAAUACUCUUCAUUCGAGUCAAAGUAACUCGUUGAGUUAUCUGAGUUUUAGUAAAAAGGUAAAAAAAAACCACAAAAAAAAAAGAAAAAAAAACAGAACCACAAAAAACCGCAAAAAAAAAACCGAACCGCAAAAACAGAACCACAUAAAAACCGAACGGUGCAGUUUCUAAAUUUCAAAAAACCGAAGUUGCGGUUUUCAGUUUGGUUUUAACAAAAACCGCACCAAACAGCACAAUGCUCACCCCUACUAAACACCCUCUUAAAAAGUUGCUUGCUUGCUUAGAUUAAAAAAUUGUUUCUUUAUGUAAGAAGCUUUGCUAGUUAGAAUAUUAUUUGUAAAAAAAAAAAAAUAGCAAAAUCUAAAAAAAAAAAGAAAAACCAGAAAAAUAUAUUUAAAAAAAAUAAACCAUAAGUUACACGGAAGAUUUUUGUGUGAAUAUGAUUUUUUUUUUUUUGGUAAAGAACCCUAAACCUUCGAUCCCAACGCAAAAGAAAACCACAAUAUUCUCGCCGUCUCCCUCCCUUCAUUCCUCGUCGACUCACCGUUUCCGUGCUAUAUUUCUCGACCUCGUCUCUGUUCAUUUUCCCUCUAUGAUCGCCGCUUCAGAGGAACUUUUCACGGGAUCUAAUGAGGAAAGCCAGUGAAACCAACUUUCAUAACCGAUAGCGUAGUUCUUAGACAACACGAUGAUAAAAGUCCGAGAUAAGGAGAAACACGGAAUAUCAGUACCUUCUUGGAUGAUGAAGAGAUUGAAAAAGGGGAAGAUUCGAAACCGGAUUUGGAGAGUGCAAUUAAGGCAUCUCAGGCUUCUAUUAUUGUGUUGUCUAAGAAUUACGCUACUUUCAACAUGGUGUCGGGAUGAAUUGGAGCUGAUCCUUGAGCAGUGUAUGGCAUCCAACCGUAUUGUCAACCCAAUCUUUUAUCACGUGGAGCCCACACGUGUCAGGAAACAACAAAGUAGCUUUGGAAAUGCAGUGGCUAAGCAUAAACACAUGAUAAUGACAUGGCCGUUCCAAACAUAUUUUGGGUCUGGGGCGAGAGGGGCAAAAAGGCCCUUAAAAUACAUAAAUUUCAUCAAGUUUUUUUUAUCAUAACUCAAUAAUUGAUAGGAAAUUACAUGUACUAGCUUCAAAAUAUAACAUUUUCGAUUAUAUAUAUAUAUAUAUAUAUAUAUAUAUAUAUAUAUAUAUAUAUAUAUAUAUAUAUAUAUAUAAUGAAGUCCAAAUUUUUUUUGGACCCCUUUAAAAGAUGGGCCCUGAGACGGUCGCCUCUAUCGACUCUCGGUAGUCUGGAUGGUGGUGGAGACAAAUGCACAUGAAAGAAGUGAAUGCGCUUAUAGAAGAUGCUAAAUUAAUAGGAAAUGAUGAUAAUGGAUGGUAACCACUUUCUUACCCAUAUUUUCUUAUGCCUUUAGUUUUGUUUGAUUAACUCAUGAAAUGUAAAUAUCAUCUUCUCCUUAUGCAUUUCAAUAAGUUUCCUAAAUAUCAAUAAAUACGCAUUUAUUUCAUUGUGAAGGAUGAAGAAGAUGCACAAAAUAAAAUCUACGUUUCGCUUUAUUUCAAUAAGUUUCCUCUUAUUUCACAAACUGAAAUAUUGGUUAUAUGAACUGUAUCGCUUUAUAUUA